UACGACCAUAUUAAGUUGAAAAAAACAGUUCCCGUGCGACCACCGAAGUUAAGCAACGUCGAGCCUGAUCAGUACCUAGAUGGGUGACUGGUUAGGAAUAGCAGCUGCUGUAAG